CGAGCACGCGCGUGUGGCAUAUCAAUAAGCGGAGGAAAAGAAACUAACAAGGAUUCCCUUAGUAACGGCGAGUGAAGCGGGAAGAGCUCAAAUUUGAAAUCUUCAAGGUUCUACCUUGACGAAUUGUAGUUUAUAGAAGUGUUUUCUGUUAGUAGAGUGGCAAAAGUUCUUUGGAAUAGGACAUCAUAGAGGGUGAGAAUCCCGUAUUUGGUCAUUCUUUCUAGCUUUGUGAUACACUUUCAACGAGUCGGAUUGUUUGGGAAUGCAGUCCAAAAUGGGUGGUAAAUUUCAUCUAAAGCUAAAUAUUGGCGAGAGACCGAUAGCGAACAAGUACCGUGAGGGAAAGAUGAAAAGAACUUUGAAAAGAGAGUUAAACAGUACGUGAAAUUGUCAAAAGGGAAGCGUUUGACACCGGUGUUGUUUUUCCGAAAAUCAAUUACGAAUGUUUUAUUUUUGAGAAGUUAUGACUUCAUCGGCUUGCUCCUUUCUUUACGAAACUUUCUUAAUGCACUUUUCGGUUAACAAGUCAACAUCAAUUUCUUUUGUUGUAAAAGGGUAUGAGGAAGGUGGCUUUCUUUUCGGAGAAAGUGUUUAUAGCCUUGUGCCUCUGCAAUCGGAGAGAUUGAGGUCUGCAGCGUAGAUCCUUCGGGGUUAGAUACAGUUUGUGCUAAGUUAUAGCUUUUCAUAGACAACUUGUUGACUAUGUUUAGUCUUGUAGCUUACUCGCUUAUGCUAUUUUACCUACGCUUAGGAUGUUGAUGUGAUACUGCGAGCA
rnacentral:rRNA from 1 species